CCUACGGGGCGCAGCAGUGAGGAAUAUUGGUCAAUGGGCGGGAGCCUGAACCAGCCAUGCCGCGUGAAGGCGAGUGCCCUACGGGCGUUAAACUUCUUUUGUGCGGGGAUAACACCCUCCACUUGUGGAGGUCUGCAGGUACCGUGCGAAUAAGGGCCGGCUAAUUCCGUGCCAGCAGCCGCGGUAAUACGGAAGGCCCGAGCGUUAUCCGGAUUCAUUGGGCUUAAAGGGAGCGUAGGCGGGCGUUCAAGUCAGCGGUAAAAACGCGCGGCUCAACCGCGCCCCGCAGUUGAAACUGGACGCCUUGAGUUCACGACAGGCAGGCGGAAUUCGUGGUGUAGCGGUGAAAUGCAUAGAUAUCACGAGGAACCCCGAUUGCGAAGGCAGCCUGCCGGGGUGCGACUGACGCUGAGGCUCGAAGGUGCGGGUAUCAAACAGGAUUAGAUACCCGAGUAGUC
rnacentral:rRNA from 1 species